AUUGAACGCUGGCGGCAGGCCUAACACAUGCAAGUCGAGCGGAAGAAGGGUGCUUGCUUGUGGUUUCAGCGGGGGACGGGCGAGUGAUGCCUAGGAAUCUGCCUGGUAGUGGGGGAUAACGUCCGGAAACGGGCGCUCAUACGGCAUAAGUCCUGAGGGCGUAAGUGGGGGAUCUUCGGACCUUCCGAUAUCAGGUGAGCCUAGGUGGGAUUAGCUAGUUGGUGGGGUAAAGGCCUACCAAGGCGACGAUCCGUAACUGGUCUGAGAGGAUGAUCAGUCACACUGGAACUGAGACACGGUCCAGACUCCUACGGGAGGCAGCAGUGGGGAAUAUUGGACAAUGGGCGAAAGCCUGAUCCAGCCAUACCGCGUGUGUGAAGAAGGUCUUCGGAUUGUAAAGCACUUUAGUUGGGGAAGAAAGGCAGUAAGUUAAUACCUUGCUGUUUUGACGGUACCAACAGAAUAAGCACCGGCUAACUUCGUG
rnacentral:rRNA from 1 species